rnacentral:rRNA from 1 species
GACGGACGCUGGCGGCGUGCUUAACACAUGCAAGUCGAACGGUAAGGCCCUUCGGGGUACACGAGUGGCGAACGGGUGAGUAACACGUGGGUGAUCUGCCCUGCACUUCGGGAUAAGCCUGGGAAACUGGGUCUAAUACCGGAUAGGACCACUGCCUGCAUGGGUGGUGGUGGAAAGCUUUUGCGGUGUGGGAUGGGCCCGCGGCCUAUCAGCUUGUUGGUGGGGUGAUGGCCUACCAAGGGGACGACGGGUAGCCGGCCUGAGAGGGUGAACGGCCACAAUGGGACUGAGAGACGGCCCAGACUCCGACGGGGGGCAGCAGUGGGGAAUAUUGCACAAGGGGAGCAAGCCUGAUGCAGCGACGCCGCGUGAGGGAUGACGGCCUUCGGGGUGUAAACCUCUUUCAGCACCGACGAAGCGCAAGUGACGGUAGGUGCAGAAGAAGGACCGGCCAACUACGUGCCAGCCGCCGCAGUAA